rnacentral:rRNA from 1 species
GAUGAACGCUGGCGGCGUGCCUAACACAUGCAAGUCGAGCGGCAGCGAGGGGUGCUUGCACCCUGUCGGCGAGCGGCGGACGGCUGAGUAACGCGUGGGAACGUGCCCCAAAGUGAGGAAUAACUGCCCGAAAGGGUAGCUAAUACCGCAUAUUAUCUUCGGAUCAAAGGAUUUAUCCGCUUUGGGAGCGGCUCGCGUCGGAUUAGGUAGUUGGUGAGGUAAUGGCUCACCAAGCCGACGAUCCGUAGCUGGUCUGAGAGGAUGACCAGCCAGACUGGAAAUGAGACACGGUCCAGACUACUACGGGAGGCAGCAGUGAGGAAUCUUCCACAAUGGGCGAAAGCCUGAUGGAGCAACGCCGCGUGCAGGACGAAGGCCUUAGGGUUGUAAACUGCUUUUAUAAGUGAGGAAUAUGACGGUAACUUAUGAAUAAGGAUCGGCUAACUACGUG